UGCCAAAUGAUGAUUGAAA
rnacentral:siRNA from 1 species